GGUCCCGUAGCUCAGUUGGAUAGAGCGGCGGUUUCCUAAACCGCAGGCCGCUGGUUCGAUUCCAGCCGGGGCCAC
rnacentral:tRNA from 1 species